ensembl:lncRNA
GUUGGACGGAGGGAGGGAGACGGGAGCUGGGGAUGAGGGGAGAGGGGGAGUAGAGUUGGAUGGAGGGAGGGAGACGGGAGCUGGGGAAGAGGGGAGAGGGGGAGUAGAGUCUGGAGGAGUGAAGGAGAUGGAGGCAGGGGAUGAGACUCUACUAGACACUACUCCACUGGCUCCACUCCAGAUCACCUGCCUAGAGAAGCAGGUGGUGAUGCUGCAGGCUGAACUGCACUCUCUCUCUGAGGAGAACCAGAGGCAGGCUGAGGAGCUGACAGUGUGGAGGCUAAUGGCCCAGCCCCUCUGUCUAGACCCAGAGGACCUCACCUCUGCUACCCUCAGCCCUGGCCACACCACUGCUACCCUCAGCCCUGGCCACACCACUGCUACCCUCAGCCCUGGCCACACCACUGCUACCCUCAGCCCUGGACACAACACUGCAGCCCUGGCCACAACACUGCUACCCUCAGCCCUGGCCACAACACUGCUACCCUCAGCCCUGGACACAACACUGCUACCCUCAGCCCUGGCCACAACACUGCUACCCUCAGCCCUGGCCACAACACUGCUACCCUCAGCCCUGGCCACAACACUGCUACCCUCAGCCCUGGCCACAACACUGCUACCCUCAGCCCUGGCCACAACACUGCUACCCUCAGCCCUGGACACAACACUGCUACCCUCAGCCCUGGCCACAACACUGCUACCCUCAGCCCUGGCCAACACAGCAGUGUGAUGGUGAUCAGAGAGGAUGAGCUGCUUCUCUCCUGUACCUCCAGUAGACUGUAUGGGAGGACCCUGGCCUCAAGACUGCAUCACUGCAAUUCUCCUGAAGCAAAGAGUCUCCAAAACCCAUCCAGAAAGAACAAAUCUACACAUCCCCAAGAGACGGAAAAACAGACCAAUGAACAUGGGGAAGAUGGUGAAGAAGCAGACAUCACCAAAGAUGUUUACCAAAUCUCAGAGCUCCAGACCAAGGCAACAGAGCACACUAACCAAGAUGAUUCAGAAAACAAGACCAAUCCAAACACUCCCAGAGCAACAGAUCAGCACAAUCUAGACGUCAUAGAACUAGAUAACAAAGAGUUCCCCACUCUGUCUCUCGCUGAGGCUCAAUCCACUGAAGCACAGUUCUCUGAAACCAACCAUUCCAGUCACCAUCAAGAGGUACCAAUCUCCACUGGUGUUGAGAAUAAAAGUCACUCCUCGGUCCGUAGAACAGUCACCACUACAUCAGAGUGGCGAACUGAGAGAACGAUGGUGGAGACCAAGGUUCUGAGUUCAAAGGUCAUACCAGCAGGAUGGACAGGUCAAGAGAGAUUGAGCUCUGUAGAGGUGAGUAGUACCAGCUCUCAGACAGAGGGGAGAGAAACAGGCGCCCUACCAGAAACACACCACGUAUACACACAGACGGAGGAGGAGAAUGAUGAAGAACCCACAGAAUCACCCCCUGUGUCACCAGUCCAGAUGUCUGAGGCCAAGGGGGACAGGAUGUUGUUUUCUGGGUCCUUCCCGAUCCCUGCCGACCCAGCCCGUCUUGCGGAGCGGAUCCGUCGUAACCGGACUCAGAUGUCUGCAGCGUACGAUGAUACGGAAUACGAACCCUACGGCCUGCCUGAGGUGGUCAUGAAAGGUUUUGCUGACAUUCCCAGUGGUCUAGGCUGUCCGUACAUUGUGAGGAGGGGGCUCCUGGGUACUGCUGCUAUGCCCCGCCCCCAGAGAGAUCCCGGCCAGGGGGAGGGGGGGCAGGAGGACCCUGAUUAACCCCCAACAGAGUGUUUGUACAGAUCCACUGGAAGACCGUCAGAGGAGUUAAUUUCACUGGACCUGCUGUGUACUGACCCCCACCUCCUGCCCUGAUGUACUGACCCGAAUAAAACCUGUUUCAUCUCUUGUGUACUGAAACACCUGAAGAGGGACAUCUGUCCCCUGCUGACGUUUAAGACAAGACCUUUCAUUGAGUUAUACAGAGGUCCAUUGGUUUCUAUGCACCUACUACAGUACUGUUCUUUACAAAUCUACUGGUUCAGAUUUCCUUGUUGUGGUUCAAAUGAGAAAUGGUGCCUUGUUUUUAUUUAAUUUGUAUAAGCUACUUUAGGCCAUGGUCCAUUGCCUGUUGUGAAAACUUGAAUUUUCAUUUGAAUAGUCUUAUUUAUAGACUGUUGAAUGUUUUAGUGUGUGUGUUCAUGUUGGUUUUUAUAAGCAGUGGGUGUACAUUUGAGGGAGCGUGUGUCGGUUUGUACAAAACUGUCCACGGAUGAGUACGUACUGCAUGUGUAGGAUGAUGUCUGGUCGUUAUGUUUUCUCAAUAUUAGCCUGUGCCUGUGUAUGACUCAACCUAACCUGAGCGUGUUUCCUCUCCUUGUAUGGUGAUCCACUGGGAGCGCUCCUUCUCUUCCCCUCCCUCGUCCCCUCUUUCUGUUCUUUCCCUAUUCAUUUCUCUCUUUCUUUACACUCAAACCUUUUUCAAAAUGACACCCUCUGUGCUCUUGAAUUUACACAAGUGCUAAACACAUGAGUGAGGUAGUUUAUUUUUAUUUUUUUAGAUACACUAUUUAAAUUGUGCAGGUUUUAGUCUGCUUUUUUGGACUAUUUUAGUUUUUCCUAGAUUUAAUAUAUUACAUUUUUGGGGGGAUAGAUUUUUCGUGCACGUUAGUGAUUGUGCCAUAGUUUUCUAGAUUUUCAGUUGCAUCUAUAAACUGCCCUGGUUUGAAACAAUAUUCACUUAAGAGAUUGUAUAUCAAAUGAAUUUAUAGCAUCUUAAAUGUAAUCUUGGUACUGCCACCAAGAUUGUGCUUUGAGGAAGUGUGUGCGCUUGUAUACAAAACAUUAAGAACUCUUUCCAUGACAGACUGACCAGGUGACUACAGGUGAAAGCUAUGAUCCAUUAUUGAUGUCUCUUGUUAUAUCCACUUCAAUCAGCGUAGACGAAGGGGAGGAGAAGGUUGAAGAAGGAUUUCUGGUAGAGCAUGGCACUUGCAACGCCAGGUUUGUGGGUUCGAUUCCCACGUGGGACCAGUACAAACGAAAUAUGAAAAUGUAUGCACUCACCACUACAUGUCGCUCUGGAUAAAAGCAUCUGCUAAAUGACUCAAAUGUAAACGUGUGUGUGUGUGUGUGUGUGUGUGCCAUUCAGAGGGUGAAUGGGCAAGAUAACAUAUUUAAGUGCCUUUGAACAGGGUAUGGUAAUAGGUGCCAGACUCACCGGUUUGUGUCAAGAACUGCGACACUGCUGGGUUUUUCACACUCAACAGUUUUUCCGUGUGUAUCAAGAAUGGUCCACCACCCAAAGGACAUCCAGACAACUUGACACAACUGUGGGAAGCAACUGCCCCAAUGAAGUGAGGCUGUUCUGAGGUCAAAGGGGAGUGCAACUCAAUAUUAGGAAGGGUUCUUAAUGUUUUGUACACUGUGUUUUGUUAACGAAACCUUCCUCCAUUCCAAAUCUGCUCCGACCUUCUUUCAGAGCUGAGGUUUAUUACAGCGUUACUGCAUGGUACUAAGAUGAAUGUGAGUUGUUAUUGGUUUUGUUGUGGUCUAAAAAAAUCUCUCAAAACACCUAUUUGUUUUUAACACACAACUAAAUAAGUUAACAGCCAUUGGAUCUGAUAGAAAUGACAGGUUUAAUACAUUGUGGAGUGAUUUUAACUUGAUAUACAUAGUUAGCUACACUUGCUUUCUGUCACUACUGACAUGAUGCAUGUAGCCACUAGCAACAACCAUGUCUUCUCUAGAUUCUAGAAGCCUGGCGUGUGUUCUAGAACACGUAUGGGCUGUUACAGUACCAUUCACUAGCCUUCUGAACACACCCCUAGCUGAGUUAUCUGUGGGAUCUCUGGGUGGUGGGACUAGUCCAAGGAGUCCAGCAGAACACACUGGAUUCUUUCCCCUGUAUGUGACACUUUUAUGUGAAUGUAUCACUGUUGAUGCUUUGUGUCGCUGUUGAAGAAGAUAGAUUAAAAAGGUUGAUCUAAAUUUAUCUUGUCAAUUUCUCUUUCCACCUCCUAAGGUCUGUGUGUCAGUUGUUUGUUUCUGUCUUGUCUAUGCUAGCUCUAUUUGGUAGUUGUAUUUCUUUCCAUCUCUCUUUAUUCUCUCUAGGUUAGAGUCACAUUCCAAAUAACGCCCUCUAGUUUAGAGGUCACUAAUGAGGUACCCAGUAAGGCAACUGGCAAGACAUC